UGAAAGCCCAAAAAAAAAAAAAAAAAAAAAAACACACCCCCAGAGAAGUGCCUCUAAUUUGCAGAGAGAAUCUGAAGGUCUACUAAUAGAGAGAACAAGAACGAACAAGAAGAACAGAAAGAGUUAAUUAUAUUGUGUGUAUAGAGAGAGAGAGAAAGAGAGACCAAUUGUUAAAAAUUGAAAAUUCCAAUCAAGUCCUUCUUUACUUGUUAUCCAAUCCUCGUUGGUUCACUGUUUCAACCGCGUUUUUGGGGAGUUUGAGGUGUUGAAUUAUCAAAUUCCUUUGCCCUCGGUAUUUUGCUGUUAUUGGUGUUAGUGACUAAGAAGGAACUGAGGGCUGUGCUGUUGUUAUUCGGUGAUCCCGUGAGAACUGAAACGUCAUGUUCGAGGGUCGUUACUUGCUGAGUUCGAGGAGGGAGAUAACUAACUUGUGCCAGCUGGAAACCAAGUGGACUUAUAUGAUCUGCAAGGUGGACCGAACUGGUAAACGACCAUUAGAAAUUGAUGAGGAAGAUGAUUGUUAUCACCAAAGUAACAAGUCCUUUAAGCUAUCUGGUUCCCAUGGAACAAUACAGGGAGCUUCUCAAGAGCAAUCUGAUGAGCAGCGAUCCUGUGCUGGGGAUUCGUCAGAUUCACAUUCACUUAUCCACUCAAUUGGCCGAGACAACUCCAUUAGUUGUCUCAUUCGGUGCUCAAGGUCUGACUAUGGUUCCCUCGCAUCUUUGAAUCGGAAUUUCCGGUCCUUGAUUCGGAGUGGGGAGUUGUAUAAGCUGAGGAGGUUGAAUGGUGUGGUCGAGCAUUGGGUUUAUUUUUCUUGUCAUUUACUUGAAUGGGAGGCCUUUGAUCCAAUUCGUCAUCGGUGGAUGCAUUUGCCCAGGAUGGCUUCAAAUGAAUGCUUCAUGUGUUCUGAUAAGGAAUCUUUGGCAGUGGGCACUGAGUUACUUGUAUUUGGUAGGGAGCUAGCGUCCGGAAAUAUAUCCUAUGUUAUAUAUAGAUAUAGUAUUUUGACAAACUCAUGGUCUUCAGGGAUGAGAAUGAAUGAUCCAAGGUGUUUGUUUGGUUCUGCUAGCCUUGGAGAGAUAGCGAUUUUGGCUGGUGGAUCUGAUUUGGGGGGAAAUAUUUUGAACACUGCUGAGAUGUAUAAUUCUGAGACUCAAACUUGGAAGUCACUGCCCAACAUGAAUAAACCAAGGAAGAUGUGUUCUGGGGUAUUCAUGGAUGGGAAAUUUUAUGUUAUUGGAGGAAUUGGAGGAGCUGAUUCAAAGCUUCUUACAUGUGGGGAAGAGUUUGAUUUGGAGACGGAAACUUGGACUGAAAUUCCUAACAUGUCUCCUGCCCGUGUUGGUGCUACAAGGGAAAAUGAUAGACCUGCAUCUGGUGAGGCACCCCCCUUGGUUGCAGUAGUAAAUAAUGAACUGUAUGCUGCUGAUUAUGCUGACAUGGAGGUGCGCAAGUAUGACAAGGUGAGGAAACACUGGUUUACAGUGGGAAGAUUGCCUGAAAGGGCAAACUCAUUGAAUGGUUGGGGUCUAGCAUUUAGAGCAUGUGGAGACCGACUUAUUGUCAUUGGUGGACCUAGGACUUCUGGUGAAGGCUUUAUAGAGCUAAAUUCAUGGGUUCCCAGUGAAGGACCUCCACAGUGGAACUUGCUAGACAGAAAGCAAUCCGGUAAUUUUGUCUAUAAUUGUGCCGUGAUGGGUUGCUGAAGGGUUGGAAAUUGUUGGCACCAUCCAGACUGUGGUGGUGCUGCUUCUACAGGAUGUACAAGAUUGGUUUGCCCUCAAUACAAGAUUCUUGCUAAUGGUAUUUGAACGACAACCAGAACAUUUGUUCCAAUUCUUAUAUUGUUAUGCAUAUGGUGUAUGUGGGAUGUGGGGAGACCAUGUGCUUGGUUUUUAGUUGAGUGUUUAAAGAUUGUUUAAAGAUUCUUAGAAAUCUAGUUAAAAGUAGAUGCUGUCAAGUGUUUAUUGGUUUUUUGAGAAGAGUAAUGCUAUAAGCAUACACUUUUGAGUAUACAAUUGGGUACACAAAUAGUAUGUCAUUAUAUAAUUGACUGUUAUUUCAUUUUUAAUUCAAAAUCAUUCAAUUACAUGAUGAUACAUUUUAUGUAUAUCCGAUUUAUACUUAAAAGUAUGUGUACAUAGUUUUAUAGUUUUGAGAAAUAACUAUUGUUCAUUAUGCAUACAUUAUCUAUAAGAGAACAUUUUUCUUUUGACAAAAAAUCAUUUGUGAAAUGUUGCAUGUUCAUUUCCAAAUAUUUUAUUGCCAUUACUAAUUAUGACAAUAAGUUAUUGUAUAACAUUUUAUGAACAAAUAUUGAAACAUUUUGCUUUUCAGGGAUGUUAUGAGGGAAACUUUGAAAAUCUCAAUAUUGUAUUUUAUUAAUAAUAUAAUAUUGUGUUUCUAGCAUCAUUAAGUAAUUUUGUUGAAAUCUGUUGACGAAUAAUAGGAGACCCUUGGCCAAACUGAUAUCAUAUGAAAUGAAUAUCAGAUGGUACCAUGACUGAAAAAAUCAACUGUCUACUUUUGAGAAGCAUUUUAGCUCAAAAAAUAAACUUUAGGCAUGUAUGCAAAUGAGCUGUGCCAAAUCCUUGGGUAUUGUGUCUCGAGUUAGAUUUAGCUUUAAAAUUGAAGCUCAAGUUUUGUUUGUAACAUCUUUAAAAAAAGUUUGUUCUCAAUAUUUUCUAGUCAAUUGGAGUUUGAGUUGGAAUUUGAUCGAUACAAAAUUUUCUUGAAUCUUUUUGAUAGAAUACUGUUUGUAUCAUGUAUGCUUAAUUCAGUUAAUGUUUUAUAAAUAAUUAAUUUAAUAUCUAUAAAAUGAUGAUCAUACAUGACGAUUAUCUGUCUGCAGUCCGCGUGUGUGAUUAUACAUCUGUAUGUGCUUGGCUAACUAGUUUAACUUGAAUCCAACCCGUUCUUUUUAGGUUUGACCUCUAAAAUUAAGCAAACCCUAGUACCAAGUUUGAGCUUGGUUUACUCAUAAUGACAUGUCUCCAAUGUAACUCUUAUCAAAUUGAUUAAUAGCUUGGUUCAUUUGCAUGCCAAGAUUUAGGAAUCCCUGCAAGGUGCUAAUUGAUAUUUGAACAUGAAGUUUGCUGUUUUGCAAAUGUAAUUGGCAGAAGCGCCUAUGCACUAUCAUUACCGUGCAAAAUGACAACGUUUCGUGUAUUGUUUAUGUAAAAAUUGCUUCUGGAAUCAGAGGGUUUUUUUUUUUUUUUGGGAUUUUCAAGAUAAUGGUCCCCAGGUUUAGAACUACAAGAGGCAUAAUUCUCUGAAUAAUUGUAUUAGAGCUAGUUCUUGGUUGGGGGCUGGGGAAACAGGCUGUGUUUGCUUGGUAGAUGCUGUGCUUUAAAUUAUGUAGAAAACCAGAAAACAUGGGAAAGUCGUUAAAAAUAUCAAAUUGUGGUUAUGGAUUGAA